AAUUUAUUAAAUGUCUAGGGCAGGGGUAGGCAUGUUCGGUCCUAGAGAGCCGCAGUACUGCAGAGUUCAGCUCCAACCCUAAUCAAAC